rnacentral:ribozyme from 1 species
UUUCUCCUUUUGUCAGUCGGUCACCCAAAGAGAUGUUGUCUAGAUCUUCUCACGGUUCACUAACGGCUUUGCUCGCUUUGCUGCUCGUAAGCGACGCCGUUACGGCACUCGACUGUGUGUGGCUGUACUCGGCUUACCAAGGCAUUCCACUGACAAGCACCCUCAGCAC